GAUGAACGCUGGCGGCGUGCUUAACACAUGCAAGUCGAACGGGAAAUACUUUAUUGAAACUUUGGUGGAUUUAAUUUAUUUCUAGUGGCGGACGGGUGAGUAACGCGUGGGUAACCUGCCUUAUACUGGGGGAUAACAGCCAGAAAUGACUGCUAAUACCGCAUAAGCGCACAGAACCGCAUGGUUCCGUGUGAAAAACUCCGGUGGUAUAAGAUGGACCCGCGUUGGAUUAGCUAGUUGGCAGGGCAGCGGCCUACCAAGGCGACGAUCCAUAGCCGGCCUGAGAGGGUGAACGGCCACAUUGGGACUGAGACACGGCCCAGACUCCUACGGGAGGCAGCAGUGGGGAAUACUGCACAAUGGGGGAAACCCUGAUGCAGCGACGCCGCGUGAAGGAAGAAGUAUCUCGGUAUGUAAACUUCUAUCAGCAGGGAAGAUAAUGACGGUAC
rnacentral:rRNA from 1 species